CUUAGUCAAGUUGGUCAAGACGCAGGUCUCUCAAACCUGAGGCGCGGGUUCGAACCCCGCAGG
rnacentral:tRNA from 1 species